rnacentral:snoRNA from 1 species
CUUCUUUGGAGAGGUGACAAUGAUCUGCCUGACAGUGUUAUCUCUGUCCCUGUGGCCCUGCCCUGUGCUGUAUCUGUGGCAUAAUUUCAAAGGUUAAAGAAACUUCCUAAAGAUGACCUAGAAGCACUAGUUUUAGAAGG